UUCAUUGAAAUAAAUGAAAGAGUGUGAAAAGUUGGUGGGUCAGCAGUAGUUGAAGAUAAGGAGUUAAAGGUGCCACGGAGAAACAAAUACUACUCAUUUAGUGUGUGUGUGUGUGUGAACUGAAGAGUACUCUUUGGAAACCAAAGUAUAAAGCAACAGCAGCAGCAGGGAAGCAAUGGAAGGUGGUAUAUCGAAUAGUACAGCUACAGGAACGACAGAGUCAGAGUUGGAAGCCUUGCAGAGAGAGCAUGAAGAGAAAAAUAUGAAAAUUAAAGAGCUCAAGAGACAGAUUGAAUUGACAAAGAACCGCUUGGAAAAGAAAAAGAAAGAAGUCACGGAGGAGCAAAUGGGAGGUUUCAAUAUAAGCAAGAAAUAUAACAGCCUGACAGAGGAAUAAAAUGAAAUGCUAGCUGAAAAAUUAAGGGAAUCAAAGUAAUAAAUCUCAAAUUAUUAAGCCUAGCUAUAAACAUUACUAGUUUCGGAUAUAUUUAAUCAAAGAUAUGGAUAUAUCUAAUUAAAGUUAACUAUUGUUUCUCCAUAUUGCUUGUAUUUUCUGUUUCAAGAAAUGAGACUAAGAGGGACGGUUCCCCUUGACAUGAAAACAUAA